GACGAACGCUUGCGGCGUGCCUAAUGUAUGCAAGUCGAGCGGGGAGCAAUCCCAGCGGCGAACGGUUGUGUAACACGUAGGCAACCUGCCUCGAAGUGGGGGACAACCCAUGGAAACGUGGGCUAAUACCGCAUGUGGCCGGAAGGGGCAUUCCUUCCGUGCUAAAGGAGCAAUUCGCUUCGAGAGGGGCCUGCGGCCUAUCAGCUUGUUGGUGAGGUAACGCUCACCAAGGCGACGACGGGUAGCUGGUCUGAGAGGAUGAUCAGCCAGACAGGGACUGAGACACGGCCCUGACUCCUUUGGGGGGCAGCAAUGAGGGAUAUUGCACAAUGGGCGAAAGCCUGAUGCAGCGACGCCGCGUGGGUGAUGAAGUCUUUC
rnacentral:rRNA from 1 species